AAGUAUCGCUCGAUCUUGAAAUAUGAUGGAAAUUAGGCUAUGUUUAUAUGAUUGUAACAAGGAUAGGCUCGAAUUAGUGAAUAUUGAGGAAUUAUAGGUUCGGUUAAUCAAGAAGAUAAAUAAAGAAAAUGGUUGGUGAAAGAUAGAAGUGAAUGGGCUUAAAGAUCAAGAGUGAACCAACACUAUAGUUGAGUGUCUA
rnacentral:lncRNA from 1 species